CACACCCAUUAGGACAGAGGGAGGGUAAUAGCAACUUGCAAUGUGAAAUUUGACUAAGUGACAUCAUAAUCUGUCAUCAACAGGGUUGCCAGCAUGAUCCAAGCAGUUCAUUACUGGUAUGGACUCAUGUGGUCGGUUCUGGCAUAUGGUGAAAAGAUUCUGGAAGCAGUUCCUUCCUGUAUUUACAAAUACAGGACAGAAACUUACAUGGAACUGCUUCCAGAAUCUUUUCACCAUUACCUGGAGUCCUGCAGGAAGCAACCAACGAGAAGACGAAGAAGCCACUAUUUUCUAGUGGGAAUGGUGGCUUCUUGCCAUUCAAGAGCAAGAGGUGGAACACACAUUUGAGGAGUUGCUGGUUUUCAUAAUCGGUGCUGACAGCUUGCCACCACUGGGAUUCCCACAGUCCUGCAAUAUAAAUUUUUAUGACCAGGAGGUGGGGAAGCGCCGCAUCCCAUAUGAAUCUACAUGCAGCCUGUGCCUGUUCUUACCAAGGGGUGUUGCAGACGAGGAACUAUUUAAAGAGCUGAUGCACACUGCCUUAAAAGGAUCACUUGGCUUUGGAAAAGCCUAGGCUGCAUUUGCAUCAGAUGUCAAUGCAUUAAAGGCUUAUAUUUGGAUUUUGAGGAAAUCAGUUGUAAAUAUCUUUUCACAUGUUCUUUGUUUGUUUUCUUUAGAGUUGGCAGGAUGUUGUAAGAAUGUAAGACUGUAAAAUUACUUUUAUAUAUGUGUAACACUGGCAGUAAACCUUUUUCUCUUCA